ensembl:snoRNA
AUCUUUUAGUAGUUCAUAAGCAUGAUGAUGGGUGUUCACAGGCAUGUGUGAGAUGUGCCACCCUCCUUAUGAGCCAGCACAUUACCUGUCUGACC